CCUACGGGAGGCACCAGUGGGGAAUAUUGCACAAUGGGCGCAAGCCUGAUGCAGCCAUGCCGCGUGUGUGAAGAAGGCCUUCGGGUUGUAAAGCACUUUCAGCGGGGAGGAAGGCGAUAAGGUUAAUAACCUUGUCGAUUGACGUUACCCGCAGAAGAUGCACCGGCUAACUCCGUGCCAGCAGCCGCGGUAAUACGGAGGGUGCAAGCGUUAAUCGGAAUUACUGGGCGUAAAGCGCACGCAGGCGGUCUGUCAAGUCGGAUGUGAAAUCCCCGGGCUCAACCUGGGAACUGCAUUCGAAACUGGCGGGCUAGAGUCUUGUAGAGGGAGGUAGAAUUCCAGGUGUAGCGGUGAAAUGCGUAGAGAUCUGGAGGAAUACCGGUGGCGAAGGCGGCCCCCUGGACAAAGACUGACGCUCAGGUGCGAAAGCGUGGGGAGCAAACAGGAUUAGAUACCCCGGUAGUC
rnacentral:rRNA from 1 species